UACAGAGGUCUCAAGCGUUGUUCGGAUUCAUUGGGCGUAAAGCGUGUGUAGGCGGAUGGGUAAGUACCUUGUGAAAUCCCACGGCUCAACCGUGGAACUGCUCGGUAUACUGCUCGUCUUGAGCCAACUAGGGGCGACCGGAACAAACGGUGGAGCGGUGAAAUGCGUAGAUAUCGUUUGGAACGCCGAUGGUGAAAACAGGUCGCUGGGGUUGUGCUGACGCUGAGACACGAAAGCCAGGGGAGCGAACGGG
rnacentral:rRNA from 1 species